AAUAAAGGUUUAAAAAUGCAGGCUAAGUGUCACUAAUUAAACAAGUAUAUGUUUAGCUAAUUGUCAGUCUCUUACAUGUGUGCUUCUCGUGAACAAUUAGUGGAUAUGCAUGUAAACAGCCUUUUAAUUAAGAGAGUAGAAUAAUCAUAGCUGAUAGUAAUUCAUGCAAACGUAAACUGGACGCAAGAACAGCAACUGGUUAAUGAAGACAAGCAUAUAAUCAAAGGACAAUCUGGAGUUGGGAUAGCCUCCAAAACCAAAAAAAGAUGCAUGGGAGAACAUCUGUGUGCAAAUAAAUGCAGCGUGUUACUAAAAUGUUUCUGUUCCGAGGCAGAUUGCUGGAAACAGCUAUUUUAACCCUGCGGAAA